GACGAACGCUGGCGGCGUGCGUAACACAUGCAAGUCGAGCGAUGAAGCACCUUCGGGUAUGAAUUAGCGGCGAACGGGUGAGGAACACGUGAAGAAUCUGCCUUCAACUCUGGGAUAACUCCGGGAAACCGGGGAUAAUACCGGAUAUGAGCCUUGAUCGCAUGAUCGGGGCUGGAAAGUUUUUCGGUUGAAGAUGACUUCGCGGCCUAUCAGCUUGUUGGUGAGGUAAUGUCUCACCAAGGCGACGACGGGUAGCCGGCCUGAGAGGGCGACCGGCCACACUGGGACUGAGACACGGCCCAGACUCCUACGGGAGGCAGCAGUGGGGAAUAUUGGGCAAUGGAGGAAACUCUGACCCAGCGACGCCGCGUGAGGGAUGAAGGCCUUCGGGUUGUAAACCUCUUUCAGUAGGGAAGAAGCGAAAGUGACGGUACCUGCAGAAGAAGCACCGGCUAACUAUGUGCCAGCAGCCGCCGUAACAC
rnacentral:rRNA from 1 species